GNCAUGGGCGAAGCCUGAUGCAGCGCCGCCGCGUGGGUGAUGAAGGUUUUCGGAUCGUAAAACCCUUUUCUGUGUGACGAGGAAGGACGGUAGCACAGGAAUAAGUGUCGGCUAACUACGUGCCAGCAGCCGCGGUAAUACGUAGGACGCAAGCGUUAUCCGGAAUUACUGGGCGUAAAGAGCGUGUAGGCGGUUGUCCAAGUCACCCGUGAAAGCUCCCGGCUAAACUGGGAGAGGUCGGGUGAGACUGGAUGGCUAGAGGGUUGUAGAGGGGUGUGGAAUUCCGGGUGUAGUGGUGAAAUGCGUAGAGAUCCGGAGGAACACCAGAGGCGAAGGCGGCACCCUGGACAACACCUGACGCUGAGACGCGAAAGCGCGGGGAGCAAACGGGAUUAGAGACCCCGGUAGUCCGCGCCGUAAACGAUGUGCGCUAGAUGUUCGUCUUCCUACGGGGGGAUGAGCGUCGAAGCCAACGCGAUAAGCGCACCGCCUGAGGAGUA
rnacentral:rRNA from 1 species